rnacentral:rRNA from 1 species
UACGUAGGUGGCAAGCGUUAUCCGGAUUUACUGGGUGUAAAGGGAGCGUAGGCGGUCUUUUAAGUCUGAUGUGAAAGCCUUCGGCUUAACCGGAGUAGUGCAUUGGAAACUGGGAGACUUGAGUGCAGAAGAGGAGAGUGGAACUCCAUGUGUAGCGGUGAAGUGCGUAGAUAUAUGGAAGAACACCAGUGGCGAAAGCGGCUCUCUGGUCUGUAACUGACGCUGAGGUUCGAAAGCGUGGGUAGCAAACAGG